GAGCAUGUGCAGGAGCGGCUUAACUGGACCCUUUGGCAAAGGGGUUGGAUUGAAAGGAAAUUAACAACUUUUCAAUCUCGUGGGUUCGAAUCCCACCAUGCUCU
rnacentral:tRNA from 1 species